rnacentral:rRNA from 1 species
UGGGGAAUAUUGGACAAUGGGGGCAACCCUGAUCCAGCGAUGCCGCGUGUGUGAAGAAGGCCUGCGGGUUGUAAAGCACUUUAGUUGGGGAGGAAAGGUAUGUACUGCAUAAGUGCAUGCUGUGACGUUACCCAAAGAAUAAGCACCGGCAAACUCUGUGCCAGCAGCCGCGGUAAUACGUAGGGACCAAGCGUUGUUCGGAUUUACUGGGCGUAAAGGGCGCGUAGGCGGCAAUUCAAGUCAUCUGUGAAAUCUCCGGGCUUAACUCGGAACGGUCAGAUGAUACUGCUUUGCUAGAGUGCAGAAGGGGCAAUCGGAAUUCUUGGUGUAGCGGUGAAAUGCGUAGAUAUCAAGAGGAACACCUGAGGUGAAGACGGGUUGCUGGGCUGACACUGACGCUGAGGCGCGAAAGCCAGGGGAGCAAACGGGAUUAGAUACCCCCGUAGUCCCUGAGCGGGCUGGCAAGGCGCAU